rnacentral:rRNA from 1 species
UGCAACGAUGAAGAACGCAGCGAAAUGCGAUACCUAGUGUGAAUUGCAGAAUUCCGCGAAUCAUCGAGUUUUUGAACGCAAGUUGCGCCCGAGGCUCGUACCGAGGGCAUGUCUGUUUGAGCGUCCA